AAAAGAGAAUUACGGAGAAGAGAAAGGGAAGUUAGAGAAAAUAAGAGUAGGCAGACACCAAAGAAAAGAAAAAUGAAAUACAAAGAAUAAUUGUUUGGCCACCACCUCCAGCUAUACGAAAGGAGUAAGGAUAGUAGAACGUGAGGAGAUAUCAAGUGCUCAACUAGUAUAUAUCAUAAUCAGGCAAAGAUAUCGCUGAUGUUUUGGUUGAUAUGAGUUUUAGAAACUCCACGUGUUAUCAGGGUUGGCGGCUGACGCAUUAUAAAAACCUUCUUUUCCUCGUCAUUUUGCAUGUAGACCAAUGUAUAAUAUACAAAGUGGUGAGACAGUCUCAAUACAGUUUAAAAUAUUUUGAAAUAUGUAAUAGAAAUGUUAAUUUCUGAAUUUAUCUUAUAUGGGUGUUUUACGAA